GGGUCAGUAGGUUGGUCGUGCCACCGGUACGUACUGUUCUCACUGAUUCCUCCUUCCUGAAGAACCGUAAUGCCAUUAAUUUGGUGUUGCGGGGAAACAGGACUGUUACUUUGAAAAAAUUAGAGUGUUUAAAGCAAGCUAACGCUUGAAUACAUUAGCAUGGAAUAAUGAAAUAGGACGAUCGAUCCUAUUUUGUUGGUUUCUAGGAUUGACGUAAUGAUUAAUAGGGAUAUUUGGU
rnacentral:rRNA from 1 species